rnacentral:rRNA from 1 species
CAGUCGCCACGGUAAUACGAAGGGUGCAAGCGUUAAUCGGAAUUACUGGGCGUAAAGCGUGCGUAGGCGGUUUGUUAAGUCUGUUGUGAAAUCCCCGGGCUCAACCUGGGAAUGGCAAUGGAUACUGGCAAGCUAGAGUGUGUCAGAGGAUGGUGGAAUUCCCGGUGUAGCGGUGAAAUGCGUAGAGAUCGGGAGGAACAUCAGUGGCGAAGGCGGCCAUCUGGGACAACACUGACGCUGAGGCACGAAAGCGUGGGGAGCAAACAGGAUUAGAUACCCCAGUAGUCCCUGUCUCUUAUAC